CCUACGGGAGGCAGCAGUGGGGAAUAUUGCACAAUGGGGGAAACCCUGAUGCAGCAACGCCGCGUGAGUGAGGAAGUAUUUCGGUAUGUAAAGCUCUAUCAGCAGGGAAGAGGAAAGAAGGUACGUGAAAAAGAAGCCCCGGCUAACUACGUGCCAGCAGCCGCGGUAAUACGAAGGGGGCAAGCGUUUUCCGGAUUUACUGGGGGUAAAGGGAGUGUAGGCGGAAAGGCAAGUCAGAAGUGAAAGCCGAAGGCUCAACCAUGGAACUGCUUUUGAGACUGUCAAACUAGAGUACGGGAGAGGAAAGAGGAAUUCCUAGUGUAGCGGUGAAAUGCGUAGAUAUUAGGAAGAACACCAGUGGCGAAGGCGUCUUACUGGACCGAAACUGACGUUGAGGCUCGAAAGCGUGGGGAGCAAACAGGAUUAGAUACCCUUGUAGUC
rnacentral:rRNA from 1 species